rnacentral:misc_RNA from 1 species
AAGGAUCAUUAACGAGUUAGGGUCUUUCCGGCCCGACCUCCCAACCCUGUGCUUACUGAACCUUUGUUGCUUCGGCGGGCCCGUCUCACGACCGUCGGGGGACCGUAAGACGUUUCCUGACCCGUGUCCGCCGGUGGCCAAGCUUAACAAACUCUGGUUACAAUGUGUCAUGGUCUGAGUACAAUUUUUAAUUAAAGUAAAACUUUCAACAACGGAUCUCUUGGUUCCGGCAUCGAUGAAGAACGCAGCGAAAUGCGAUAAGUAAUGUGAAUUGCAGAAUUCAGUGAAUCAUCGAGUCUUCGAACGCACAUUGCGCCCCCUGGUAUUCCGGGGGGCAUGCCUGUCCGAGCGUCAUUGCUGCCCUCAAGCCCGGCUUGUGUGUUGGGUCGCCGUCCCCUCCUUCCCGGGGGGGGUACGGGCCCGAAAGGCAGCGGCGACUUCGCGUCCGGUCCUCGAGCGUAUGGGGCUUCGUCACUCCGCUCUGGUAGGAACGG